UUGCUUUGACAGCACACAUACUAACACUGGAAUAAGACAAAGAAAGUUAGCAUGGCCCCUGAGCAAGGAUGAUGCACAGAUUUGUGAAAUGUUUUCUAUUGGG